UACGAAGGGUGCAAGCGUUACUCGGAAUUACUGGGCGUAAAGCGUGCGUAGGUGGUGAGUUAAGUCUGUCGUGAAAGCCCCGGGCUCAACCUGGGAAUGGCGAUGGAUACUGGCUCGCUAGAGUGCGGUAGAGGAGAGUGGAAUUCCCGGUGUAGCAGUGAAAUGCGUAGAUAUCAGGAGGAACACCAACGGCGAAGGCAGCUCGCUGGGACGGUACUGACGCUGAGGCGCGAAAGCGUGGGGAGCGAACAGG
rnacentral:rRNA from 1 species